rnacentral:RNase_P_RNA from 1 species
CAAAGCGAAGAGCGUAGGAGGAGAGGAAAGUCCGAACUUCCUUUGGAGAAAUCUAAUGUCAAGGUAGUGGAUAACAUCCACCCUCCAUCUUUUACGAGAAUUGGAGCGGGAAAGUGCCACAGAGACUAUACUAGCCAGCCGAUUCGGCGGGCAAAAGGUGAAAAGUGGUUUGAUGUCAUUUGCACAAUUGACAAAUGGCUACAAACUUCGACUCCCAGUGAUGGGAUGUCGUGGUAAACCCUACCUGAAGAAAGAGCAGCGUUACGAUUUAUCGUUUCGAAAAGUUAGCUCGUUUGAUCCCGACAGUAAUGUCGGGACUAGAUAAAUGAUCAUCUUGUUUCCUUUUGGAAACAAACAAAAUUCGGCUUAUAUUUGUAGA